AUUGGGAAGGGAGAGGGAGAUUUAAGUUGCUUAUCGGGAGGCUGAACUCAUACUGUGGACUACUUAACAUUUUAACGGACAUUUUUCUUAUAUAACUAUGACCAGACUAGGACCUUUGGGAGUAGGACUGUUGGCCGUUGUGCUGUAAUGUGACACAGACAGGUAUAACACUCUGUGUUAACUGGACGAACGCGCUUUCAGUGUUUUCUUCUGGAUAGUUUUUUGUUGUUGUUGUUCGUUAUUCCCCCCGGUGCUGGUGUGUAUUCGGGGGUUUCAGUCGGCAGUGUGAUGCAGAGUUUGGAAAAAUGUCUGGGGGAGGAGUACCUUUGGAUAUGGGAAGGACACAUCAUUCAAAAGUGGCAACACUUGAAAACGACCCCAAGGAGAGAGAAUGAGUCACUUUGCUUCAGAGCUCUUCAGCUCCUGGUACACUAUCUGCCUCUAGGAAGGGCCAAAGGAUGGACCAGAUAGAGAGUAAAAUCAGCCCUACCUUACAUCUUGGACCUAAGACCGAUUGGAACCAGCAUCCCCAGCUUCUGAGCCAGCAGUCCAUCAGCUCAAUCUUUCGCGUAUAGGACACCCCAGCACAACAACUCAGUAUGCCACUGCAGUAAAGAACGACAAAGUCACCAUUCCACUUCAAGAUGAUAGUUUGACUUGAGCCACAGACAAACUGUUCUAAGCUGUUUUGGAACAAGUCAAUUUCAGUAAUGUCUCAGAGGAUGCAGCAAGUGAAUGGUGCCCCCUGUCUUGUGCUUGUGCAGUUUGAUGACAGCAUGGCCUGAUGGAUCAGUUAUUUGUAGGCUAGUGCACUCUUGCUGAAUUCUAUUAAUUGAACUUCUGUGAAUUUUCUCGCUGAAUUGUUUUUUUCAGUUUGAUUUUUAGUUAGUGCUUCAAAUGUCAGCAUACAAAUGGAGAAUGAUUUGACUUUUCUAAUGCAUUUACUUUAUUUUGUGUCUUGUAAAGUUUUUACGGUCACCAUUUUUGUAAGACAGACGUAUUCUCCAGUACAAAAUGCAAUAUUAUGGUCUUAAAAGCUUAUUUUCCAUCCGUACAUUAGACUCACCAAGACUGUAUGUUGUUACACUUUAUAUAUAUUGUUUGAAAAAAUAAAUAAAUCUGACCUGAA